rnacentral:rRNA from 1 species
AAAGGAAUUGACGGGGGCCCGCACAAGCAGUGGAGUAUGUGGUUUAAUUCGAAGCAACGCGAAGAACCUUACCAGGGCUUGACAUCCAUGGAAUCCUGAAGAGAUUCGGGAGUGCCGCAAGGAGCCAUGAGACAGGUGGUGCAUGGUUGUCGUCAGCUCGUGUCGUGAGAUGUUGGGUUAAGUCCCGCAACGAGCGCAACCCUUGUCGUUAGUUGCCAGCAGUAAGAUGGGCACUCUAACGAGACUGCCGUUGACAAAACGGAGGAAGGUGGGGACGACGUCAAAUCAUCAUGCCCCUUAUGUCCUGGGCUACACACGUACUACAAUGGCUGUAACAAAGGGCAGCAAAUGCGCGAGCAUAAGCAAAUCCCAUAAAUACAGCCUCAGUUCAGAUUGCAGGCUGCAACUCGCCUGCAUGAAGUCGGAAUUGCUAGUAAUCGCGAAUCAGCAUGUCGCGGUGAAUACGUUCCCGGGCCUUGUACACACCGCCCGU